rnacentral:rRNA from 1 species
UGGGGAAUAUUGGACAAUGGGCGAAAGCCUGAUCCAGCCAUGCCGCGUGUGUGAAGAAGGUCUUCGGAUUGUAAAGCACUUUAAGUUGGGAGGAAGGGCAGUUACCUAAUACGUGAUUGUUUUGACGUUACCGACAGAAUAAGCACCGGCUAACUCUGUGCCAGCAGCCGCGGUAAUACAGAGGGUGCAAGCGUUAAUCGGAAUUACUGGGCGUAAAGCGCGCGUAGGUGGUUAGUUAAGUUGGAUGUGAAAUCCCCGGGCUCAACCUGGGAACUGCAUUCAAAACUGACUGACUAGAGUAUGGUAGAGGGUGGUGGAAUUUCCUGUGUAGCGGUGAAAUGCGUAGAUAUAGGAAGGAACACCAGUGGCGAAGGCGACCACCUGGACUGAUACUGACACUGAGGUGCGAAAGCGUGGGGA